rnacentral:lncRNA from 1 species
CUGCCUUGUAAUAUAGACUGUGCAUUUGUAUGAUAGUUCCUCAAUUUUUUUCAAAUGUCGGCUGCACUAGCUUUCAAAAUUUAGCAUGUAUGAGAGUUUUAGGAGAGCUUGUUACAGCACAGAUUGCUGACUAUACCCUGAGUUUUCAAUUCAGUAAGUCUCGCCUAGAGUCUGCAAAUUUGUAUCUCUCCCAAGAUUCCAUGUGAUGCGGCUGGUUUGAAAACCACAUUUUGAGAAUUGAGAAACCAAACUGAGAAUCAUGUCUACUCCAUUCUUUGGACUAUAAGACUCAGUUUCAAUAAGCUGGACCAGUCAGAUUCCCUGUGGACAUGAAUGAAAGAAGAGACCAAUCUGAG